GAAGACAGAAUAUUAUCAAGUAUUAACAGUUAUUUUCCAAUUCUGUAUUAUAAAAUUAUUUCUGAUAAUGGAAAAUUCUCUAUUUCUUUCAAUUAAUUAAAACAUUGAAAGUCUACAGUGUAUAAAAGAAAGCACUGGAGUUCUGGAGAGGUGAGGCAGAAUACGAAGGUAAACAGGAAUCAUUAUUCCUUUUCUCAGAGGUAUGUAAUCUACAGGGGAAGCAUGCAGCACCUGAAAGGGGAGGAGAGGUUGGUGGGCCAUGCAGGGUUGAAGGAGGAGCAUAGGAACAUGGGUCUGGGAAAGUUUGGCUAGCUUUACAGUGCUCAAUUGAAAUACUACUUUGCAAUAUUUUCUCAACACCAGGGUUCAAGUUUGUUAGUCCUACUGAGACAUCAGGUCAGAAGAAAAGAACAAAAGUGAGUAGGCAUUCAUGGCUUUGCAUUCUCAGAAAGUCAUCCUGCUGGUUCAACUGUGUAUGAUUGAGCAUAUUGUCAUUGAUGAAGAAUUUUUAUUUAUUUUUGAUCAAAGACUUCACCAUGUUUUCCUGAACUUUUCAAUCUCCUGUUUGCAGAGUUUUAAUGUGAGCUCUCCUCGGGCCUGGGAGAAAUUCUGAGAGUGACCCCUGAGAAUGAGCUCAGUGGUGAGAAGUCCAAGGACAGGAUGAGGUCGACAUUGCAAGUGUUUUUGGAAUAAGAAUCAACACACUUAAAGACUGGGAUUUGGAAGUGAGAAGGAGUACAUGGAAGUGAUUCAGGAAGACAAGGAAAUGAGACAGAAGUGGCAACAUUUCUCAAAGUUCUAUGCAUUUGUUCCUUUGGAUUCAAGUGAAACAUCUGGAGUCAAUUCUUAACCCAAUGUUGGUUUGUUCUCACCAACCUCUUUGCCAUGCUAUUGGAAAAUAUAUUACAUUUCUGUAUGUUAUAUGCCCACAAAUACAAUUAAAUGUAUACUGCCUUAUGAUUUUUAAACAAGAUAAGAAAGGAUAAGAAAUAGGCAAUUAUACUCCUUUAUAAUUGCAUAAUUACCUUUAUCAGUGUUCUUUGUUUUGUGUGUGUGUGUUUAU